rnacentral:rRNA from 1 species
CCCCGUACACAAAAAUGCACAUGCUGUGAGCUCGAUGAGUAGGGCGGGACACGUGGUAUCCUGUCUGAAUAUGGGGGGACCAUCCUCCAAGGCUAAAUACUCCUGACUGACCGAUAGUGAACCAGUACCGUGAGGGAAAGGCGAAAAGAACCCCGGCGAGGGGAGUGAAAAAGAACCUGAAACCGUGUACGUACAAGCAGUGGGAGCACGCUUCGGCGUGUGACUGCGUACCUUUUGUAUAAUGGGUCAGCGACUUAUAUUCUGUAGCAAGGUUAACCGAAUAGGGGAGCCGAAGGGAAACCGAGUCUUAACUGGGCGUUAAGUUGCAGGGUAUAGACCCGAAACCCGGUGAUCUAGCCAUGGGCAGGUUGAAGGUUGGGUAACACUAACUGGAGGACCGAACCGACUAAUGUUGAAAAAUUAGCGGAUGACUUGUGGCUGGGGGUGAAAGGCCAAUCAAACCGGGAGAUAGCUGGUUCUCCCCGAAAGCUAUUUAGGUAGCGCCUCGUGAAUUCAUCUCCGGGGGUAGAGCACUGUUUCGGCAAGGGGGUCAUCCCGACUUACCAACCCGAUGCAAACUGCGAAUACCGGAGAAUGUUAUCACGGGAGACACACGGCGGGUGCUAACGUCCGUCGUGAAGAGGGAAACAACCCAGACCGCCAGCUAAGGUCCCAAAGUCAUGGUUAAGUGGGAAACGAUGUGGGAAGGCCCAGACAGCCAGGAUGUUGGCUUAGAAGCAGCCAUCAUUUAAAGAAAGCGUAAUAGCUCACUGGUCGAGUCGGCCUGCGCGGAAGAUGUAACGGGGCUAAACCAUGCACCGAAGCUGCGGCAGCGACACUGUGUGUUGUUGGGUAGGGGAGCGUUCUGUAAGCCUGUGAAGGUGUACUGUGAGGUAUGCUGGAGGUAUCAGAAGUGCGAAUGCUGACAUAAGUAACGAUAAAGCGGGUGAAAAGCCCGCUCGCCGGAAGACCAAGGGUUCCUGUCCAACGUUAAUCGGGGCAGGGUGAGUCGACCCCUAAGGCGAGGCCGAAAGGCGUAGUCGAUGGGAAACAGGUUAAUAUUCCUGUACUUGGUGUUACUGCGAAGGGGGGACGGAGAAGGCUAUGUUGGCCGGGCGACGGUUGUCCCGGUUUAAGCGUGUAGGCUGGUUUUCCAGGCAAAUCCGGAAAAUCAAGGCUGAGGCGUGAUGACGAGGCACUACGGUGCUGAAGCAACAAAUGCCCUGCUUCCAGGAAAAGCCUCUAAGCAUCAGGUAACAUCAAAUCGUACCCCAAACCGACACAGGUGGUCAGGUAGAGAAUACCAAGGCGCUUGAGAGAACUCGGGUGAAGGAACUAGGCAAAAUGGUGCCGUAACUUCGGGAGAAGGCACGC